AUGUGCCUUCACAUCAAUAAUGGCAUCCAGCAUGAAAGCUGUAAUAUAAUAGUUUGAUUGUUCCCUUUCCAGUCUUCCUUACAGUCCCCUCUAAAGCAAUUAUUCUGUUCAAAAGAGGAUUUGUUUGUGAUAUUCCUUUAAGAAUCUUUAUUUAUUCCCCCAACAGUUUCUUUUUCUGCAUCCGCUGCUCUGUUAAGUGAUCACCACAUUCAUUGUUCUCGUUUCUAUUAUUUCUGAAAAAAAUCUUCAGGAUUCUGCUUGUGGGAGUGGAUGACAUUUUUACAGUGUUUACAGGCUGAAAAUUUUUCGAGCUUUUAUGCUCUGCUUCCGUUAUAAGGAGGAGGCCUCACAAUCCUGGUGGAAGGCAAGGAGGAGCAAGUCACAUCUUAUGUGGAUGGCAGCAGGCAAAGAAAGCUUAUGCAGCUUUAUCUAUUCCAGAAUGUCAUAUAGCUGGUAUAAGGUUGUCUUCAUUCAUUUCCACAGUUUCUCUGGAGGUUCCAACAAGAUACGGUCUCCAUUGCCCAUUGCUCUGGACCCCAGCCAUCACCCAGUGCAGCAGUGAUGCCUUAUGACAAGUCAGCACCUGGUCUGAACUCUGCUCUCUUUGCACUGAAUUCUUUGAGUUUUUAUUCCAAGUUCAGUCAUUGGUUUUAGUAUUGGUUCCCAUCUGCUUGGCAUCCUUGGUGGAAUUGGGCUUCUUUUUUCAAUUUCUUUUUGCUGUCUUUUUGUUUUACUGUGUUGAGUAGUGCUAUCUAAAUGUGUUUAUCAUAAAAGAAGCAGCACAUGAUCAUAGGCCCAUGAGCCUGUUUUUCAAGCCAGCCAAACAGCACAUUUAGUUUGACAUUCACACUGGACCUCUGUCCAUUUUUAUAAACUUCGCUUUGGGUCAUCAAUAAAACUAAAUGAAGUUCUCUCU
rnacentral:lncRNA from 1 species